ACCUCGCUGCCAUUGCCGGAGAACUCUUUCGAUGACCCACCGGAGCUUCUGGCCGCCGCCGGACCUAUUGCUGGGGCCGGUUCGAAAUCGCAGCUGCUUCGUGUAGUUAUUCCGAGCCGUUUAUGCUGCUGCGAAAAUGUGUGGGGCUGUGCUUUGAAGCUGCCUUUGAUUUUGAGUUGAGGCAAAAAGAACUUAUGAGGCAUUUGGAUUAUGGAACUUUGCGUUUUGAGGAUAUGGGCGCAGAAGUCACGAAGAGUUUAUUUAGUUGUUAUUGAGAUGCUCUGUAUUGCUUUAGGUUAUUAUUUGUACCCUCACCUUUAUCUUGAGAUAUUCUGUAAGAGGGGUAGGAAUUGUAUUGUCUAAUGCUUGUAAUAUAUAUAUAUAUAUAUAUAUA